rnacentral:rRNA from 1 species
AGUGAACGCUGGCGGCGUGCCUAAUACAUGCAAGUCGAACGGAGAUUAAGUAGCUUGCUUUUUAAUCUUAGUGGCGCACGGGUGAGAAAUAUAUAGCUAACUUGCCCAUUACUAAGGGACAACAGUUGGAAACGACUGCUAAUAUCCUAUACACCGUAUCUAUAUAAGUAGAUACGGGAAAGUUUUUCGGUAAUGGAUAGGGCUGUAACGUAUCAGCUAGUUGGUAAGGUAAUGGCUUACCAAGGCUAUGACGCGUAACUGGUGUGUGAGGAUGAUCAGUCACACUGGAACUGAGACACGGUCCGGGCUCCUUCGGGAAGCAGCAGUAGCGUAAAGUACUAACUGGGCGAGACUGUAAAGCAUCAACGCCGCGUGAAAGAUUACACUUUGCGAAGCAUAAACUCCUUAUCAUCGGAAAGAGUUAUGACGGUACCCAAGCAAAAAGCCCCGGCUAACUCCGUG